ACUCCUACGGGAGGCAGCAGUACGGAAUCUUCCGCAAUGGACGAAAGUCUGACGGAGCAACGCCGCGUGAGUGAUGAAGGCUUUCGGGUCGUAAAACUCUGUUGUUAGGGAAGAACAAGUGCUAGUUGAAUAAGCUGGCACCUUGACGGUACCUAACCAGAAAGCCACGGCUAACUACGUGCCAGCAGCCGCGGUAAUACGUAGGUGGCAAGCGUUAUCCGGAAUUAUUGGGCGUAAAGCGCGCGCAGGUGGUUUCUUAAGUCUGAUGUGAAAGCCCACGGCUCAACCGUGGAGGGUCAUUGGAAACUGGGAGACUUGAGUGCAGAAGAGGAAAGUGGAAUUCCAUGUGUAGCGGUGAAAUGCGUAGAGAUAUGGAGGAACACCAGUGGCGAAGGCGACUUUCUGGUCUGUAACUGACACAGAGGCGCGAAAGCGUGGGGAGCAAACAGGAUUAGAUACCCUGGUAGUCCACGCCGUAAACGAUGAGUGCUAAGUGUUAGAGGGUUUCCGCCCUUUAGUGCUGAAGUUAACGCAUUAAGCACUCCGCCUGGGGAGUACGGCCGCAAGGCUGAAACUCAAAGGAAUUGACGGGGGCCCGCACAAGCGGUGGAGCAUGUGG
rnacentral:rRNA from 1 species